AGUGAACGCUGGCGGUAGGCCUAACACAUGCAAGUCGAACGGCAGCACAGUAAGAGCUUGCUCUUACGGGUGGCGAGUGGCGGACGGGUGAGGCAUACAUCGGAAUCUACUUUUUCGUGGGGGAUAACGUAGGGAAACUUCCGCUAAUACCGCAUAUGACCUACGGGUGAAAGCAGGGGAUCUUCGGACCUUGCCCGAUUGAAUUAGCUGAUGUCGGAUUAGCUAGUUGGCGGGGUAAAGGCCCACCAAGGCAACGAUCCGUAGCUGGUCUGAGAGGAUGAUCAGCCACACUGGAACUGAGACACGGUCCAGACUCCUACGGGAGGCAGCAGUGGGGAAUAUUGGACAAUGGGCGCAAGCCUGAUCCAGCCAUACCGCGUGGGUGAAGAAGGCCUUCGGGUUGUAAAGCCCUUUUGUUGGGAAAGAAAAGCAGCAGGUGAAUACCCCGCUGUUCUGACGGUACCCAAAGAAUAAGCACCGGCUAACUUCGUG
rnacentral:rRNA from 1 species